rnacentral:rRNA from 6 species
CAUACCUAUUCGAAGGGAUAGGGUCGGUUCGGCCGGGUUUCACACAGGUGUUGCAUGGCUGUCGUCAGCUCGUGUCGUGAGAUGUUGGGUUAAGUCCCGCAACGAGCGCAACCCUCAUCCUUAGUUACCAUCAGGUAAUGCUGGGGACUUUAAGGAAACUGCCAGUGAUAAACUGGAGGAAGGUGGGGAUGAUGUCAAGUCAUCAUGGCCCUUAUGGAGUGGGCUACACACGUGCUACAAUGGUGGCUACAAUGGGCUGCAAAGUCGCGAGGCUAAGCUAAUCCCUUAAAAGCCAUCUCAGUUCGGAUUGUACUCUGCAACUCGAGUGCAUGAAGUUGGAAUCGCUAGUAAUCGUGGAUCAGCACGCCACGGUGAAUACGUUCUCGGGUCUUGUACACACUGCCCGUCACGCCAUGGGAAUUGGUUUCACUCGAAGCU